AGAUGACGAGCGGCGGACGGGUGAGUAAUACUUAGGAAUCUACCUAGUAGUGGGGGAUAGCUCGGGGAAACUCGAAUUAAUACCGCAUACGACCUACGGGAGAAAGGGGGCAGUUUACUGCUCUCGCUAUUAGAUGAGCCUAAGUCGGAUUAGCUAGAUGGUGGGGUAAAGGCCUACCAUGGCGACGAUCUGUAGCUGGUCUGAGAGGAUGAUCAGCCACACCGGGACUGAGACACGGCCCGGACUCCUACGGGAGGCAGCAGUGGGGAAUAUUGGACAAUGGGGGAAACCCUGAUCCAGCCAUGCCGCGUGUGUGAAGAAGGCCUUUUGGUUGUAAAGCACUUUAAGCAGUGAAGAAGACUCCGUGGUUAAUACCCACGGACGAUGACAUUAGCUGCAGAAUAAGCACCGGCUAACUCUGUGCCAGCAGCCGCGGUAAUACAGAGGGUGCAAGCGUUAAUCGGAAUUACUGGGCGUAAAGGGAGCGUAGGUGGCUCGAUAAGUCAGAUGUGAAAUCCCCGGGCUCAACCUGGGAACUGCAUCUGAUACUGUUGAGCUAGAGUAUGUGAGAGGAAGGUAGAAUUCCAGGUGUAGCGGUGAAAUGCGUAGAGAUCUGGAGGAAUACCGAUGGCGAAGGCAGCCUUCUGGCAUAAUACUGACACUGAGGCUCG
rnacentral:rRNA from 1 species